AUGACAGUGUUUCCAUUUUAUGUGUUUCAUUCUUCAUUAAAGUUUCUUUCACUCUUUGCUAUUGUUUGUUUAUAUACAUCAAAGCAGCAGAUUUGCAUUAAUGUUGCUCAUUUUCUGCCCUGUUUCUGCCUGUAUUCUUGUUGCUAUAUUCCAUCUAUCCAAAAUAUAAUUAUGGAGGGAUUUGAUGGAUUUAUAAGUUUAAUAUUUGAUUGA